rnacentral:lncRNA from 1 species
AGCGCCAUAGUCGCCUUCCGCGGACGUGUACCCCCGCCGAGCACCAGCGGCAGUGAAGAGGCAUAUAUAACUUGGUCCAUAUAAUCUUCUCCCUUGGUUUUUAGGGGGCGAAGAAGAUGCCUUUUGCGAUCCUGGGUCCCUCCAACAACCCUCUCGGCCCAUUUAAUCCAGGCCCAAUAAUAUUCCUGGGUCUAUAUGGGCUGGAUCGGGGGAGCCCAGUGACAACAAGCCCC